rnacentral:rRNA from 1 species
GAUGAACGCUAGCGGGAUGCUUUACACAUGCAAGUCGAGCGGAAAGGUCUCUUCGGAGAUACUCGAGCGGCAAACGGCUGAGUAAUGCAUAGGAAUUUUGCUUUAGUGGAGGAUAGCUUACCGAAAGGUUUGGUAAUACUGCAUGUGGACUACGGUCUAAAGCCUUCGGGCGCUAAAGUCGAAGCCUAUGUCCCAUCAGAUAGUUGGUAGGGUAAUGGCUUACCAAGUCUAAGACGGGUAGCUGGUCUGAGAGGAUGAUCAGCCAGACUGGAACUGCGACACGGUCCAGACACCUACGGGUGGCAGCAGUGGGGAAUAUUGCGCAAUGGGGGCAACCCUGACGCAGCAAUCCCGCGUGGAGGAAGACGGCCUUUAGGUUGUAAACUCCUGUGGUAAACUAAUAAUUAUGAAUGGUUUUCUAGAAAGAGGUUGCUAACUCUG